CCGCCAGUUGGCGCUCCCGCAGCUGCCGGGCGACCCCAGGCGGGGGCGGGUCGGCCGGCGCGAUCCUCCCCGCGGCUUCCCGGAACAAUAAGCACCGGACCCCGAGUGGCGGCGCCGCCGCGACCCCUCCCUCGGGCCCACCAAGGCGGCUGGGGGCUGAGGCGUGACCCGGCCUAGUCCCAGGCUGUUGGCUGGCGACGUCGGGGGAACGGCCCGAGCCCGCCGGGACUCUACCCUCCCUGCCCCGCCGCCCGGGAAGACCUGCCCGCCCGGAGCAGAGGAGUCCGCGGCGGCGGCGCCGAGGGCGCCUCCCCCGGGCCUCCGAGGUCUGAGGUACCGCGGUUGCCGCGCCUCCCGAGCCUCUCGCCCUUCUCUUUAUUUCUCCUCCUCGCUUUCUCUCCCCUUUGCCUCCUCAUCUCACCCCUCAGCAGGUACGGAAACGGAGCCAGGCCCGGGAUUCGCCCGGAGGCCGAGCUCCCGGGACGCCCCCUCCUCUUUCCCGCCGCCCUCUGGGUCUUCUGCCCCCACCCCAACUCUGCAAGGCCACAGCGCCCGUCUUCCGCGGGGUUCUUAAGGCCUCGGAGCAGACGUCCUUGUCGAAGGCUGUCGAUCACUUUCCUGCGAAAAUGACGAGAAACUCUAAAGUGUUCACAUUGUAUUUUCCUGUCCAGACUAGAUUAUUGAGCAGCUGAUAAGCUAUUGACAUCCAGGGGGAAAAGGAAUCAUGGGAGCACCAAGGAGGCUUCAGAGAAUCACUAAAGCUCUCUUUCUUAAACUAGGUGGACCUAACAAGUCACCCCCACCUUCCCAACCAAGAUGGUGUCAGGCAUAGUGGGAGGCAAGAUAUCCAAUUUCCAUACAAAGGAACAAGGCACCAAGGUAUCACUUCCCUCUGAGAUGCCAAGAAGGUCAAAUGGGAAGUCCAGAAUUUCACCCUCAUCUGGCAGAAAGGAGGUGGGUACCCCAUUCCUCUCUAGGAUGGUGUCAGAAAGAACCUGCUAAAAUAGAUUUAUAUAAGAUCCAGAAUCUCCUGUCUCUAAAUGUCCAGGAUACAAUUUAUUUUUUUAAGGAUUUUAUUUAUUUGAGAGAGAGAGCACGAAAGCAAGCAGGGGGAGGAAGAAGGACAAGCAGACUCUGCACUGAGCAUGGAGCCUGAUGCGGCGCUUUGAUCUCAGGACCCCAAGAUCAUGACCUGAGCUGAAAUCAAGAGUCAGACACUUAACUGACUUGGCCACCCAGGCGCCCCUGUCCAGGAUACAAUUAAAAAAAAAAAAAAAAGUCACUCAUCAUACCAAGAACCGGAAAAUUUCAACUUGAAUGACAAAAUAUAAUUUUAAAAAUACUGACACCAAAAUGAAUCAGAUGUCUGCAUUAUCUGACAAGGAUUUUAAAACAACCAUCAUAAAACUGCUUCAUCAAACAUUUAUGAACCCAUUUGAAACAAAUACAUUUGAAAAGUCUCAGCAAAGAGGGGCACCUGGGUGGCUCAGUUAGUUGAGCGGCUGCCUUCGGCUCAAGUCAUGAUCCCAGAGUCCUGGGAUUGAGCCCCACAUCGGGCUCCCUGCUCGGCAGGAAGCCUGCAUCUCCCUCUCCCUCUGCUACUGCCCCUGCUUUGUGCUCUCUCUCUCUCAAAUAAGUAAGUAAAAUCUUAAAAAAAAAAAAAAAAAAAAGUCUCAGGGGCACCUGGGUGGCUCAGUUGGUAAGGCUCAGUCUGCCUUCAGCUCAGGUCAUGAUCACAGGGUCCUGGGAUCGAGCCCUGCACCAGGCUCCCUACUCCACGGGAAGCCUGCUUCUCCCUCUCCCACUCCCCCUGCUUGUGUUCCCUCUCUUGCUGUGUCUCUCUCUGUCAAAUAAACAAAUAAAAUCUUAAAAAAAAAAAAAAGUCUCAGCAAAGAAAUAGAAUAUAAAGUAGAACUAAAUGGAAAUGUUCAGUUCAGUGGGUGAGCUCAACAUCUGAAUGGAGAAGACAGAGGAAAGGAACUUGAAGAUAAGACAAAGCUACCCAAUCUAAACCACAAAGAGAAAAUAAACUGGAAAAAAAAAAAAAUGAACUGGUCCUCAGGAACCAGUGGAACUAUAACAAAAGAUAAACAUUUGUGAAAUCAGAGUCCCAAAAGAAGAAAAAGAGGGUGGGGCAGAAAAAGUAUUCAAAGAAAUGAUGACUGAAAUUUUCCAAAUUUGUCAAAAUACAUAAACCUUUGGCUUCAAGAAGCUGGACAAAUCAUCAACAGGUCAGAUCCAAAGAUAUCACCCCAAGGUACAUACAUCAUACUUAAACUUCUUAAAUCUGAGGUGCCUGGGUGGCUCAGUCAGUUAAGCAUCUGCCUUCGGCUCAGGUUGUGAUCCCGGGGUCCUGGGAUUGAGCCCCAAAUCAGGUUCCCUGCUCAGCGGGGAGUCUGUUUCUCCCUCUCCCUUUGCCCCUCCCCCCACUCAUGCUCACUCGCGCUCUCUCUCCCCCAAAUAAAUAAAAUCUUUUUAAAAAUAAAUAAACUUCUUAAAACUAAAGACAAAAUAUCUUGAAAGCAUUGACAGAGAAAUAAUACUUAUAUAGGGGAACUUUUUUUUUGAAUGACAUCAGAUUUCUCAUGAGAAACCAUGGAGGUCAAAAGAAAGUGGCCUAUUUUCCAAGUACUCAAGGAAAAGAACUGUCAACCCCAAAUUCUACAUCUAGUGAAAUCAUCCUUCAAGAAUGAAGGGAAGCUACAGAAAACUUAGAAGAAUUAAGAAUUUGUCACCACAAUGGGGCGCCUGGGUGGCUCAGAUGGUUACGCGUCUGCCUUCGGCUCAGGUCAUGAUCCCAGCGUCCUGGGAUCGAGCCCCACAUUAGGCUCCCUGCUCAGCGGGGAGCCUGCUUCUCCCUCUCCCUCUGCCUCUCUCCCUCCUCAUGCUCUCUCUCUCUCUGUAUCCCUGUGUCUCAAAUGAAUAAAUAAAAUCUUUAAAAAAAAAUAAAAAGAAUUUGUCACCGCUAAACCUACUCUAAAAAUUGCUAAAGAAUGUUCUUAAAAUAUAAGGAAGAUGGUAAAAGAUGAAACAGAAUAUCAAGAAGAAUUAAAGCACAAUUGCAAUUGUGGAAAUGUUGGCAAAUACCUUCCUUCUCUCAAGUUUUUAAAAUUAUGUUUGGGCGCCUGGGUGGCUCAGUUGGUUAAGCGACUGCCUUUGGCUCAGGUCAUGAUCCUGGAGUCCCUGGAUCGAGUCCCGCAUCGGGCUCCCUGCUCAGCGAGGAGCCUGCUUCUCCCUCUGACCCUCCCCCCUCUCAUGCUCUCUCUCUCUCUCUCAUUCUCUCUCAAAUAAAUAAAUAAAAUCUUUUUAAAAAAAAUAAAAAAAUAAAUAAAAUUAUGUUUGACAGUUGAAGCAAAAAAUAUAACAUUGUCUGAUGUGGUUCUCAGUGUAUAUGGGAGAAACAUUUAAGACAAUUAUAAAUAGGGGAGGGUAAAAUGACUUAAAGGGAGGUAAGGUUUUUAUACUUCAUUUGAACUAGUAAAAUAUUAAAACCAGUAGACUGUGAUAAAUAAUGUAUGUAUAAUGCAAUAUCUAGAGCAACUACCAAAAAAAUCUACACGAAGAGACACCAAAAACACUAUAGUUAAAUCAAAAUGGAAUUCUUUUUUAUUUAUUUAUUUUUUAAUGCAGGGCUUGAACUCACAACCCUGAGAUCAAGACCUGAGCUGAGAUCAAGAGUCGAAUGCUUUUAAAAAAAAUUUUUUUAAGAUCGUAUUUAUUUAUUUAUCAGAGAGACAGAAAGAGCACAAGUAGGCAGAGUGGCAGUCAGAGGCAGAGGGAGAAGCAGGCUCCCCGCUGAGCAAGGAGCCCAAUGCCGGACAUGAUCCCAGGACCCUGGGAUCAUGACCUGAGCUGAAGACAGACCUUAACCAACUGAGCCACCCAGGUGCCCCACCAAAAUGGAAUUCUUAAAAAAAAUCAAUUAACUCACAGAAAGGCAAGAAAAAGAAAAAGAGAAAUGGAAAAGAGAACGAAUAAGCAAAAAAGAAAAUGGCAGAUUUAAGCUCCAGCAUUUCAGUGAUUACAUUAAAUAUAAAUUCUCUAAAUAUAGUAAUUAAAAGACAGAUUAGGAGAGUAAAUUUAUAAGAAGAAGAAAAAGAUCAGUAACCCAGUUUUUAAAAAUGUGCAAAGAAGUUGUAUGGUGACAGAUGGUAGCUACAUUUGUGGUGAGCAUAACAUAACAUACAGAGUUGUCAAAUUGCUGUGUUGCAUACCUGAAACUCAUGUAACAUUGUGUGUCACUUAUACAUCAAUAAAAAAAUUGGGCGCCUGGGUGGCUCAGUUGGUUAAGCGACUGCCUUCGGCUCAGGUCAUGAUCCUGGAGUCCCUGGAUCGAGUCCCGCAUCGGGCUCCCUGCUCGGCGGGGAGCCUGCUUCUGCCUCUGACCCUCCUCCCUCUCAUGUGCUCUCUCUUUCUCAUUCUCUCUGUCUCAAAUAAAUAAAUAAAAUCUUUAAAAAUAAAUAAAUAAAUAAAAAAUAAAAAUAAAAAAAUUGCUAAGAGAAUAAUAAAAUUUAUAUGCAGAAUUUAAAAGCACAGGAAGAACCAUGGUUUUAACUUUGUAACUGUAAUGUAUCAAAUAUUAAUUUUAGAAACUAAAUAAACUUUUUUUAAAGAUUUUAUUUUUAAGCAAUCACCACACCCAACAUGGGACUUGAACUCACGAUGACAAGAUCAAGAGUGAUAUGCUCCACUGACUGAGCCAGCCAGGCGCCCCUGGAAACUAAAUAAACUUCCGAGUAAUCUCUUCUGUGCAAAAAUUAAUUAAUUAAUUAAUUAAUUAUUAAAAAUAAAAUGGGCAAAGGAUCUGAGUAGACAUUUCCCCAAAGAAGAUAUACAAAUCCCUAAUAGGCAUAUGAAGAAAAUGCUCAACAUCAUUAGUCAUUAGGGAAAUGCAAUAAUGAAAUAACUGAUUUACAUCUGCUAGGAUGGCUAGAAUUAAAAAGGCAGACUACAAUAAGUGUUGACAAGGAUGUGGAGAAAUUGGAACUCUCAUACAUUGCCAGGAGGACUGUAAAAUUGUGAAGCCACUUUGGAAAAUAGUCUGGGCAGUUCCUCAAAAUAUUAAACAUAGAGUUAAUAUAUUACCCAGCAAUUCCACCUGAGUAUUAAAAACAUGCAUCUACACAAAACUUGCACAUGAAUAUUCAUAGAAGCAUUACUUAUAAUAACUAAAGCUAGAAACAUCUAAAAUAAGUACAUUAAUUGAUGACCGGAUAAACAAAAUAUGUGAUAUCCAUACAAUGGGAAUAGUAUUUGGAAUUUAAAAAGAAUGAAUCUGAUAAUAUGCCACAACAUAGAUGAACCUUAAAAUCAUUGUUUUAAGUGAGGGAAUCCCACCGCAGAAGAUUACAUAUUAUAUGAUCAUAUUCAUGUGAAAUGUGCAAAUAGGCAAAUCCUUAGAGACAGAACAUAGAGUAGUGGUUGCCUAUGGCUGACAGAGGUGGAGUGAAGAAAUGGGGAGUGACUGGUAAUAGACAUGAGGCUUUUGGGGGGUGACAAAUAAGUGUUCUCAGAUUGCGAUGGUCUGUGGAUAUACUAAAGUCCAUUGAAUUACAUUCUUUAAAUGGGUGAUUUUUGUGUAUGAAUUAUAUUGUAAUAAAUCUUUUUAUAGAAGAAGCCACAGGAAAAAAAGUCAAUUGUAUUUUUAUAUACUAGCAAUGAACAAUUGAAUAUUGAAAUUUAAAAAAACAAUAUCAUUAAUAAUAGGAACUACUUAGGGAUAAACUUACAAAGGAUAUGAAAGAUCUGUAUACUGAAAACUAUGAAAUACUGCUGAGAAAAAUUAAAACCUUAUAAAUGGAAAGAUGGACCUCCUUUAUGGUUAAAAGACUCAAUAUUGUUAAGGUGUCAAUUCUCCCCAAACUUAUCUAUAGAUUCAGUGCAAUACCAAUCAAAAUCCCAGCAAGCUUUUUUGAAAACGUUGACUUACUGAUUCUAAAAUUCACAUGGAAAUUCAAAGAAACAGAACAGCCAAAAUAACUCAGAAAAAGAAAAAAACAAUGUUGGAAGGCUAAUACUAUGUAAUCACAAUAGUUAUUAUAAAGGUACAGUCAUCAAAACAGUUUGGUUUUAACAUAAAGCUAGGAACAUAUAUAUCAAAGAAAUAGAAGAGAGUCCCAAAACAAACCUACACAUGUAUGGACAACUAUUUUUAACGAAGGCAUAAAGGCAAUUUAGUGGAGAGAGGGUACACUUUUCAACAAGUGGUACUUGAACAACUGGGCUUCCCUAUGCAAAAAAAUAAACAAGCUUGGAUCCGUAUCUCACACCACAUACAGCAAUUAACUCUAAGUGAAUCAUAGACCUAAAUGUGAAAGCUUAAUUAUAAAACUUUUAAAAGAAAAUGGAAGAAACCCUUGUGACCUUCACUUAGGCAAUAAAAGCACAACCCAGGGACGCCUGGGUGGCUCAGUUGGUUAAGCGUCUGCCUUCAGCUCAGGUCGUGAUUUCAGGGUACUGGGAUUGAGCCCCACAUCAGGCUCCCUGCUCAGCGGGGAGUCUGCUUCUCCCUCUCCCUCUGUUCCUCCCCCUGCCCCCCUCAU